AUGCCCAUGAUGAUAUCAGUUACCAAACACCAUCUUUCGGGACUGAAUGGCUUCACGCCUUGCUGUCAUUUCUGCAAUUCUGAGGCUA
rnacentral:snoRNA from 1 species